rnacentral:rRNA from 1 species
UACGUAGGGGGCUAGCGUUGUCCGGAAUCAUUGGGCGUAAAGCGCGUGUAGGCGGUCCGGUAAGUCCGCUGUGAAAGUCGGGGGCUCAACCCUCGGAUGCCGGUGGAUACUGUCGGGCUUGAGUACGGAAGAGGCGAGUGGAAUUCCUGGUGUAGCGGUGAAAUGCGCAGAUAUCAGGAGGAACACCAAUUGCGAAGGCAGCUCGCUGGGACGUUACUGACGCUGAGACGCGAAAGCGUGGGGAGCAAGCAGG